ACUGUUAGCAACGGAUAUCUAGGCUCCUGUAACGAUGAAGAACGCAGCAAAAUGCGAUACGUAAUGUGAAUUGCAGAACUCAGUGAAUCAUCGAAUCUUUGAACGCAUAUAGCGCUUGCAGGAAACUGUGAGCAUGCUUGUUUGAGUGUU
rnacentral:rRNA from 1 species